GACGAACGCUGGCGGCGUGCUUAACACAUGCAAGUCGAACGGAAAGGCCCUGCUUUUGUGGGGUGCUCGAGUGGCGAACGGGUGAGUAACACGUGAGUAACCUGCCCUUGACUUUGGGAUAUCUUCAGGAAACUGGGGCUAUUACCGGAUAGGAGCUCCUGCUGCAUGGUGGGCGUUGGAAAGUUUCGGCGGUUGGGGAUGUACUAGCGGCUUAUGGGCUUGUUGGUGGGGUAGUGGCUUACCAAGGCUAGGAAGGGUAGCCGACCUGAGAGGGCUACCGGCCACAUUGGUCCUGGGGUAGGGCCCAGACUCGUACCGGACGCAACGGUGGGGAGUAUGACAGAGUGGGCGGAAGCCAGAGGCAGCAACGCCGCGUGCGGGAAGACGGGCUGCGGGUUGUGAACCAAUUUCGCAUUAGACGAGGCGUGAGUGACGGUAAUGGGUAAAGAAGCACCGGCUAACUACGUG
rnacentral:rRNA from 1 species